rnacentral:misc_RNA from 1 species
GAUGAAGAACGUAGCGAAAUGCGAUAAGUAAUGUGAAUUGCAGAAUUCAGCGAAUCAUCGAAUCUUUGAACGCACAUUGCGCCCCCCGGCAUUCCGGGGGGCAUGCCUGUCCGAGCGUCAUUGCACCCCUCGAGCCCGCGCGGGUUUCGGUGUUGGGCCGCCGUCCCCCGGGGGGGGGGACGGGCCCGAAAGGCAGUGGCGGCCCCGGGGCGACUUCCCGCGCGAUCGCAGCACCUCGCGGCCGAAGCGUUCGCCCCGCGGGCCCGCCUGGACCACCAGUGUGACGUACCGGUUGACCUCGGAUCAGGCAGGGAUACCCGCUGAACUUAAGCAUAUCAAUAAGCGGAGGA